UUGAAAUGUGGUUUAUAGGGGAAAAUGAUGCUUCUUGUAUCGGAAUAAUUACAAAGUAGACACGCCGAGUGUACUGCCGGCGCGGGUCCAAGCCUGUAGUCCCAAAUCGGAUAAUCUCUGCAGCUGGUUACACGCAAAAGAGAAGCCAGGCAACAGACAUAUUACAGAAGAAAGCUCUCGACUCCGAGAUAGAACCUAGAAAUUAUAUUCUCUUCAAGAUCCAUGAAAGAGAACCUGACUGCUUGCUUUGGUCUGAGAGUUCAGACAUCUCUUCUCUUAAGAAAGUCUUCAUUUCCGUUUGCUGAGUCCUCCUGUUUUGUCAUCGCUGGGCCCUGUAAGAAGUUUGCCAGGAGGUCCCCAGAAGUAGAAGGACCAUGCUCUCUAUUCUAAGCUGGCCUUGAACUCAUGACGAAUCAGAGGAUGGCCUCAAUCUGGGAUGGACAUUUCCAGCAGAGAAAUGCUAUCUAGACCAAAGACAUUGUUUUACUAUACAGCCAACGGUUCUUUAAAUGCCCGGCAACCCUCUCUUCUCCGGUGCUUGAUGGUGUGUGUGUGAAGAAGUGUUCCUAAACACCGGCACAAAAGAGUGGGCAUACAUCAAGCAUACAAGAGGUGGAGGAGAGAGGGGGCCUUGCCGAUGCCUCAGAUGAGGUGGUGGAUGAGAAAAGCAGGGGUGGAUCAGAGUAGACACAGCACUCAAAGUCUGGUUCCAUUUCCCAGAAGUAAUCGUUCAGCUUCUACGUGGUUUGUCAUUGCCAAAGUCAAGACUCAAACCCAGGCCCUGACCACCAGAGACUGUCAGUUUUCAAGCUUAAAAAAAAGAAAAGAAAAGAAAUACUUAUUUUGAUUUUCAUUUAAUUUCAUAUUACGCCCAGGAACUAUUUUAAGGAAUUUUGAGUUAUAACCUGUGACCAAAAGUCAAGUAGCAGUUUUUCUAAUGCGUCUGCAUUUGCUAUGAAGAAUCAAAACCAUGAGAGUAUUUUCAUUGCCUGGCACUUUAUAACAAGGUCAGAUUUGGUAUUAACAUGAAAGAACAUUUGAUGGUUUUUAAAGCUUCAAUAUUUAUUUUGUUCUAAAAUAAAGUACUUUUCCCCCUCUCUAUAUUCUUUGUUAUGCAUAAAGUAUUUCUAGGGUU
rnacentral:lncRNA from 1 species